GCAAGUGGAAUAAUUGAAUAAUUGCGCGGCGCUAUGAGAUAAUGUUCGUAGAUCAUUGCGGUUCGACUAGUGGAAACAAUGUGGGUUCUUCAGCUAUCACAUCAGUCCUUCUGUUCAUUCUAAUAGUUUUG
ensembl:ncRNA F11D5.28 ncRNA